rnacentral:lncRNA from 1 species
AUUUUCCAUUAUACAAGUGAAAAAUUAUAUUAACAUAGCUUCCAAGUUACAGCAGCUAGUGUUUACCAAACACUUUAGUGUUGUACCUUUAAAGCUACAGCUACCCAAUCUCAAUAACAAACACACCCUUAAUCUCAUUCCCUUGUAAGUCUUACCUGUCCUCUCACGUUCUCUCUUACAACUUGUUCAAACCAGCCUUGCCUUUCAAAGGGAAAAAUGCAUCAUUUAGAAUAGGUGUCACCAAGCACAGCAAGAGCACAUACCUUAAAUUACAAAGGAAGAAAGGAUACUGAUAUAUAAAUUUUAAGAGCUCUAUUUGCAAUCCGAGGCAUGAACUGUCCUCCAAUCAGUUGCAAUUUUUGUGUGGCACCUGAGAAGGCUGAUUAUAACUCAUGUUAAAUGGAGAAUAAAACAUUAAAAUUGUGUGAUUGUAAGUCUGUGACCAUCUUACGUACGAUUGGUUUUGUUGCUAAGGGGCAUGAGGAAGCUUUCGGUGCGAAAUUGGAUUACUUGAGAAGGCCAUUCAAUUUGCAUUUUUCAUUGUUGCUUUGAGGAUAGAUAGAUAUAUAAUUAAUCGAUUAUGAGAGAGGGGCUUUUCAAUUAUUAUCGGCUUUCGUGGAAAGAGCUUAUAAUUAAUGAGAAACGAUGUUUAUUCUUUUAUGAGAAAUGAAACACUAAUGUUUGUUCAGCAUAAAUAAUGAAUGGUGCAAGAAGAUAAAGUUUAUUAAAAGCUUAAAUAAUGAAUGAUGCAAGAGGGUAAAGUUUAUUUGAAUACUAAAAUUUAUUAAAAGCUGACUUUAAAAUAAAAGAUCGUGAGAGGUAAUGUUCCAAUUCAACGUGAUAAAGAGAAAAAUUGUAUUCCAUAAUAAUUCCUUUUUUUUUUAAUUUAUGCAACCUUUUUAACCAAUUUGUUAAUUGGAUACAAUAUUAUUAAAAAAUAAAAAAAUUUAUAAAUAAAAAUAAUUUAUACCAUUGUUCAAAUCUAAUGGUACACAUCUGUUACAUAUUGAUGUUAUAAAAAAAACCACAUUAUAGAGUGACCCUAUA